AGUGAACGCUGGCGGUAGGCCUAACACAUGCAAGUCGAACGGCAGCACAGUAAGCGCUUGCUCUUACGGGUGGCGAGUGGCGGACGGGUGAGGCAUACAUCGGCAUCUACUUUUUCGGGGGGGAUAACGUAGGGCAACUUCCGCUAAUACCGCAUACGACCUACGGGUGAAAGCAGGAGAUCUUCGGACCUUGCGCGUCUGAAUGAGCUGAUGUCGGAUUAGCUAGUUGGCGAGGUAAAGGCCCACCAAGGCGACGAUUCGUAGCUGGUCCGAGGGGAUGGAUCGGCCACACGGGACCUGGGAAACGGUCCGAACCCCUAGGGGAGGCAGCAGCGGGGAAUAUUGGACAAUGGGCGCAAGCCUGAGCCAGCCAGACCGCGUGGGUGAAGAAGGCUUUCGGGUUGUAAAGCCCUUUUGUUGGGAAAGAAAAGCAUCAGGUUAAGACCCCGCUGUUCGGACGGUACCCAAAGAAUAAGCACCGGCUAACUUCGG
rnacentral:rRNA from 1 species